UACGUAGGGUGCAAGCGUUGUCCGGAAUUAUUGGGCGUAAAGAGCUCGUAGGCGGUUUGUCGCGUCUGCUGUGAAAACCCGAGGCUCAACCUCGGGCCUGCAGUGGGUACGGGCAGACUAGAGUGCGGUAGGGGAGAGUGGAAUUCCUGGUGUAGCGGUGGAAUGCGCAGAUAUCAGGAGGAACACCAAUGGCGAAGGCAGAUCUCUGGGCAGUAACUGACGCUGAGGAGCGAAAGCGUGGGGAGCGAACAGG
rnacentral:rRNA from 1 species